rnacentral:rRNA from 1 species
UACAGAGGCCCCAAGCGUUACUGAGAAUCACUGGGUUUAAAGGGUGCGUAGGUGGCGCGUUAAGUCCGUUGUGAAAGCCCUGGGCUCAACCCAGGAACUGCUUCGGAUACUGGCGCGCUUGAGGCUAGUAGGGGUCACUGGAACUGACGGUGGAGCGGUGAAAUGCGUUGAUAUCAUCAGGAACACCGGAGGCGAAGGCGGUCCACUGGGUCCUUUCUGACGCUGAGGGACGAAAGCUAGGGGAGCGAACGGG